rnacentral:rRNA from 1 species
CGGUGUUUAACUGGCGUGAUGUGGGACGUCCUACCGGUGGGCUUAGCCUCGCGAGGGGCGGCCCAACUAAUAUCCCGUCGCGGUGCUCUUUACUGAGUGUCGAGUCGGGCCGGUACGUUUACUUUGAACAAAUUAGAGUGCUUAAAGCAGGCUAUCCUCGCCUGAAUACUGCGUGCAUGGAAUAAUGGAAUAGGACCUCGGUUCUAUUUUGUUGGUUUUCGGAACCCCGAGGUAAUGAUUAAUAGGGACAGAUGGGGGCAUUCGUAUUGCGACGUUAGAGGUGAAAUUCUUGGAUCGUCGCAAGACGGACAGAAGCGAAAGCAUUUGCCAAAAAUGUUUUCAUUAAUCAAGAACGAAAGUUAGAGGUUCGAAGGCGAUCAGAUACCGCCCUAGUUCUAACCAUAAACGAUGCCAGCUAGCGAUCCGCCGAAGUUCCUCCGAUGACUCGGGCGGGCAGCUUCCGGGAAACCAAAGCUUUUGGGUUCCGGGGGGAAGUAUGGUUGCAAAGCUGAAACUUAAAGGAAUUGACGGAAGGGCACCACCAGGAGUGGAGCGUGCGGCUUAAUUUGACUCAACACGGGAAACCUCACCAGGCCCAGACACCGGAAGGAUUGACAGAUUGAUAGCUCUUUCUUGAUUCGGUGGGUGGUGGUGCAUGGCCGUUCUUAGUUGGUGGAGCGAUUUGUCUGGUUAAUUCCGAUAACGAACGAGACUCUAGCCUGCUAAAUAGGCGUACCUUAUGGUAUCGCGAAGGCCCCCGGCUUCGGCCGGUGGGUUUUUACUACCAACGUACAAACAAAUCUUUUUAGAGGGACAGGCGG